UACGUAGGGUGCAAGCGUUGUCCGGAAUUAUUGGGCGUAAAGAGCUCGUAGGCGGUUUGUUGCGUCGGGUGUGAAAGCCCUCGGCUCAACCGAGGAAGUGCAUUCGAAACUACUGAGCUUGAAUACUGGAGAGGAUCGCGGAAUUCCCGGUGUAGAGGUGAAAUUCGUAGAUAUCGGGAGGAACACCAGUGGCGAAGGCGGCGAUCUGGACAGAUAUUGACGCUGAGGUGCGAAAGCGUGGGGAGCAAACAGG
rnacentral:rRNA from 1 species